rnacentral:lncRNA from 1 species
UCCUGCGAUACCUUCUCCUUAACCACUUAUUUAUUUGUUUUUGCAUAUAUCUGUCUCCUCUCAGCUUGCUGCAGCUAUUAAGUUCUUGUCAACCCUCUCAAAUUCCUCAUAAUCUCAUUUACAUUUACUUCCCUCCUUUUGUACUUCAACUACCGUCAUCAAUUUCCAUAAUUGCAAUUACCCUGCUUUUAUACUUUCACAAAAUUCCAGCCAAAUGCUGCAUUCAAACUAUUAUAUGUAGCACCAGAUGAAACCUUAAAAAUCUCUUCAUCGAGUGAUUUCUUCCAUCUACCAAGUCUUGGUGGAUAGAGUUAUCCCGUGCUUAUGUUGUUAGAAUAUAGCAAAUACCGUGAAAUUAGUCGUGAUGGCACAAGUUGGACCACCACAUUUGUCAAGAAUAUAAAGUCUCUCCAUUCUACUCAUCAUACUCUAGAACAACAUUGUAACAAGCAGUACAAGUAAACCCCUGCUUCACAACUUUCAUGAUCCGCCAAAAGUUUAAAUUAAUAAACAAUUAAUGGAAAUUAAAUUAAAAGUUGAAAUAAUCAGCAGUACAGAUCACAGAUAAUCCUUGUGCAAUGUACAAGAUUAAUGUGGUAAAAAAUAUGCAUCAAUCAAGAAUUCAGAUAAAAUUCCAAGAAAUUGGGUGUAGCAGAGUCAUAUGGCCGGCCCCAAUACCAGACUUCUAGAGUUCUAGUGGUAAUUGAUACUAAACCUGUGUCAAUGAAGUGACCUAAAAAAAAUUUCUCCUUUGACUAAAAUAAUGGUUUAUGUUUUUGUAAGUGAAAGUUGUCUCCAGAACUCAAAUUAAUAUAAAUUAUUACUACAUUAUAAUACUUCAAACUUAAUGUGCAUCUCCCCUUUUUUUUUAAAUCAGAUAAGGUGGAAUUUCAUUAGAAUUUCAUCUGUAGAUGCUGAAAGGCAAACUUAAUGUGCAUCUUACUGCUAAUCCUUCCAUAUUAUCAAAUAAAUGGAAGGCAAAUAUUUUAACCACUCUUUGGCCAAAAUCAACAUAACAGUUUGUUCAAACAUGUUAUAUUAAGUAUUACAAUAAAAAGGACCUGAAUAGAGCAGAAUGGUAUAAGAGGAUUCAUACACCUGAUCUGAGAUAAAGAAGUAGUUGUUUGAUUGAUGGAUAGAUUGGCUGUUUGUACACUAUUUAACUACAUAAAUCAAGGUAGGAUGUUUUGUUGAUUAAGCACCUAAGAGUUGGCCAAGUAAUCAAAGAAGUGGGUGAACACCUUGGAGACUAGAGUUUAAAUCCUAGUAAAAAAAACUAGGUGAUUUUUCCCAUUUGUGAUCUGCAAAAGCAUUGGCAGUUAAGAGUUACCUAUACCUAUAUUGAUGGGAGGUAGCAGGAACUCGGUAAAAUCAAAGUGGCCAUAAAUCGGCUCGGGACCACCGUUAUAAGAUUAAAAAUAACGAAGGUCGUAUUGAUUAUGACAGAAGUAUCAUAAUUUAAGAUAUGUAGGGUCAUUUCUUAAAAUAGUUCAAUAGGUUGGGAAGGCACUAAGGUGGAAUAUACCAUCAAUAUACUCUUAUGCUUCAGAUUAACUAAGAAUAUUCUCCAGGUAGCUCCUGUGAUACCUUCUCCCUAACAACUUAUUUAUUUGUUUUUGCAUAUAUCUGUUUCCUCUCAGCUUGCUGCAGCUAUUAAAUUCUUGUCUCCCCUCUCAAAUUCCUCAUAAUCUCAUUUACAUAUACUUCCCUCCUUUGUACUUCAAAUACCGUCAUUGAUUUCCAUAAUUGCAAUUGCCCUGCGUUAUACUUUCACAAAAUUCCAGCCAAAUGUUAUAUUCAAACUUUUAUUUAUAGCACCAGAUGAAACCUUAAAAAUCUCUUCAUCCAGGUGAUUUCUUCUAUCUAUCCAGUCUUGGGGAUAGAGUUAUCCGGUACUUAUGUUGUUGGAAUAUAGCAGAUACUGUGAAAUUAGUCCUGGCACAAGUUGACCCACCACAUUUGUCAAGAAUAUUAAGUCUCAACAUUCGAUUCAUCAUACUCUAGAACACCAUUGUAACAAGCAGUACAAGUAAACCCCUGGCUUCACAACUUUCAUGAUCCGUCAAAAGUUUAAAUUACAUAAACAAUUUAUGGAAAUUAAAUUGUAAGUUGGAAUAAUCAGCAGUACAGAUCACAUCACAGAUAAUACUUGUGGAAUAUACAAGAUUAAUGUGAUAAAAAAGAACAUGCAUCAAUCAAGAAUUCAGAUAAAAUUCCAAGAAAUUGGGC